GCCAGCAGCCAUAUCACCCUGCUGCUCACAACUGGGAGCCCACUGAAGCUCAGCAGGUGUGAGCCUGGUCAGUACCUGGAUGGGAGACUCCUGGGAAAGCUGAGGCUGCUGCUGGAA
rnacentral:rRNA from 1 species